UCUUCCAAGGGUUGGGUGAUCCGAUUCCAGAAGCAGAUGCAGCAAUAUUGCUUCAAACAAGUGCAGUCACAACGAUUGCAAGACGCCAAACCUCCUUGGCUGGAACUUCUGGGUUGGAUGCUUUGAGUCAACUAACUGUGAGAGCUCAAAGAGGAUGUCUCAGUUUUGAGCCAGGCGAAGUACCAGUUGCUGACGACAAGGACAUACAGUUGACAGUGGCUGAUAUUCAUGAGCAACAAGUCAUGUCUGGAACCUGGCUUGACCAUGACUUCCCACAGUACUGCACAUUGUCAUCAAGAGAGGCUUCAUUUCCAGCAGUGGCCAUGCUUGAUGGUAUCAGAAUCAAUAAAGCUGACUUUGCCAAGAAUGGGUUCUUUUACAGAAUCACAAAUGGACUUACAUCAGUGACAUGUUUCCACUGCGGGUGUUCUCCUAGACAGUGGCAGAUGGGGAUGCAACCUUGGACAGAACACAUAAUCCUGUCACCCCGAUGCCGUGCCAUCCCCCUGUAGACACACCAUCACCAGAUGUCGGGCACUCACAUCAUUUUCCACAACACAGUACGAACUAGCUCAUCGAAGUUCCCAUGCAGGUUCUCUCCGGUGUCAAUAGAGUUUCGGAGCUGUCAGAAAGACUCACAGUUCGGUACCUGGAACUCAUUCCUUUCUGUGCCACUUGUGCUUAUAUUAAGCAUAUUGUUUCCUCAUCUGCAUUAACGUUUUAUAAUAGAUUUAUAUCAUGUGGGGGUUGUAAGUAAAUACCUUCGUUGACAUGAUUAAAAAGACCUAAUAUUCCCUGUGGGAAAUCUACUGUGUAUGUCCCACGCUGAUAGUAAACACCUACUGGCUGAAAUAUGAUACUAACCUUGGCAUUUACCCAAAUGAUAUAGAGCGAUGUGACAGAGCAAUCAUGACUCAUUACGACUUUGACCGGUUUAUCAACAUUAAUAUAUAUCUUAUUUUGUCAGCUUAUUAAUGUAAUGGAAUAGAAUCAGACUCAGUUUCUGUUAAAUAUUCAGAUACAGAAGAAACGCUCAUUGGAGCAAAUUUGUAAUGGCAAACUUAAGUUCAUUGACUUAUAGCAAUACAUCAAAAGUCACCGAGCGUAAAGGGAGACAACUUUCUAGUGUUCUGGUCAGCCUGCAGGUAUCGGUUGCAAAUGUUGUCAGCGUGGGGCAUGAUUAUGUAUCCUCAAAUUGAGCAGCCUCGAUUAUUAUUGCCCAGCUUUGGUCAUGUUUUAGUGUUAUGCACUUUUUGAUAUACAUUUAAUAUAUAUGUAUAUGUUCAAACUGUUCACUCUCUAAUUAGGACUGUUUCAGGAUCUAUCCAUGACUUAUUGUAUCGUUAACAGGUUUACCCAUUGAUAAGAAUGGCUUUUCAUCAUGACAGUUCAUUUUGAAAAAGAAAAUACUUCAUACAACUGAAUGAUUUCAGUUUAAUCAUUUUGUAUUAAGUGUCUCUCAUGUUUACAAUCUACUCAAGUCCUAGAUCAGGGCCUGACAUAUAUAUGAAAGGUUACUGGGUAUACGUUGUAAACAAUUUUCCUGAUACUUACUUUUGAAGCUCCAUUUUGACUGUAGAUAUCAAGAACUAUGAUGGUGGAAGUUAGGGUUUUCAAAUGUGUACAUACGUCAAUAUAUCUUAUAACAUUGAUUCUCCACACUGACAUUUAUCCAUAGCAAUGUAUAUUAUCAAUGCUUUUAAUUUUAGCAUUUCCGAUUGUUCUAUAUACAAAACAUUUUCAACCCCCCAAAAAACCCCAACAUAACAAAAAUACUAUGCAGUUUGCCCAAACAUGGUUCGCCUAGUCAAGCAGUCAUGUAAACCUGUUCAUCACAGGGCGCGAUAACUCUCCUUUAGAAAUAGUGUUAGUUCAUAGGUGAAUGCGCACUGCUGCGUUGUAUACAUAUACCGUCAAAGCAAUAUACAUGCAAGUCUUCAUAAUUUCGGAAUUAGCUGUUUCUCCAUAUACUUUACCCCAACUGAAUGUUCCUAUUAUUUCGAGAUGUGUGCCAUCAUGGGUGAUAUUAUGGGGUUGAAUAUUAUCUAAACUGUAAUGCAUUACAGAGAUUUGUUCCAACAGCGUGCUCCAUGCUUAUGUAACAAGAAUAUGAUAUUUGUAGUCUCUUAUUUUGGUAAUAUACUGUGACUAUUGGUUCCAUAACAACCCAUACAUUAUCAUCCUCGUCUCAGUUUCAUCAGACAAUAAUUCAAGACAUCUGCAGUUUUUAAUGGAGAUGUUUUAGCAAUUCGAUACACAAUUGAACGGAUUCCAAGUAUUAACAAUCAGAUUUCAAUACAUAGUUUCUUUAUACGUCUAAAUUUAAUAUGUAUUUAAAUGUUAUGCUCUAGUUUAAGCAUAAUGACUACUCAAUCGUCAUUUAUGAAUAGUGCAAUACAAUGCACAUAUAAAAAAGGUAGGAAAAUAGAACUGUUGUAUUUAAUCUUAUAGCAUUCUGUCAGCAGAUCCAUUUACAAGCUAAAGAGGGGAAAAUAGCAGUUAGGAAUCACCAUUAUGGAACAGGAAACAUAGAAGGCUAGGUCAAAUGAUAAUCAAAAUGAGUCGUUUUCUCUUGCAAACACCAGAUCACUGGGAAAUCAAACUUGAUACAGCCCCUGCAAAGUAGUUAAAUGUGACUCAUUUGAAUUUUACAACACUUAAUGCCUUCAUAGUUAUAGAGAAUGCAAUUGAGAAUUGUCAUAAAUGUUCUGUUUGAAAUGAAUAAGAAGAAAAAUGAAAUUGUGAAGCACCUUUGAAUUUGUAUUUAUAAUUGUGUUUUAUCUUUUUUCAUGAUCAUAUAUGAGAUGUAAUCAAUGUAAGUGGCGACGAACAACCACCAGUCACCUAUGCAAUAUGCUUGUUUGAAGGCCAUUAUUAGGAAAGCGAUUCAUUAGUACUGUUAGCCAAGACAUUGGCAUAUUUUCUAUAUCCUUGGUGAUAUGCUUGGCUAGCCUAUUCUGAAAGGUAAAGUCUCCACAUUAUGUCUCUUCCGGAAUAUUUAUUCAGUUUUAGGUUACCCUAAAAGAACAGUAAAUUGUGAAAAAAGUAUCGUAACUUUUGAUCAGUUAGGAAGCACAUACUUUGCACAUAAGAACAUCAGGAGUUGAACCCGAUCAAUGUUACUUGUGCCACCGACCAUCCUUUUUGUAGCAUGUUGUGCUUGUUACACCCCUGGUUUAUUAUAUGUAAUAACAAUUUUUAAUAUUAAUAUUCAUUGGCAAUAAUAAAAUUUUGAUUAACUGUAAUUGUUGUGGUUGUAUUCUGGGAUACCCAUCCUGGAAAGAUAUUCAUAAUGUACUAGGACUGCACGGUAUUACCGGUAUACCGGUAUAUCGCAAUACGCUUUUCAAACGAUACGUAUUGCAAUAUUUUUUCUAAGAACCGGUAUAUAGAGUAAAAAACAUAUCUUGAUACAGCCCCUGCAAAGUAGUUAAAUGUGACUCAUUUGAAUUUUACAACACUUAAUGCCUUUAUUGUCAUAAAUAUUAUUUUAAAAUGAAUAAGAAGAAAAAUCCAGUUGUGAAGCACCUUUGAAUUUGUAUUUAAAUAUGUGUUUUAUCUGAUUUUUCAUGAUCAUAUUUGAGAUGUAAUCAAUGUAAAUGGCCAAACAAUCACCAGUCACCCAUGCAAUAUGCUUGUUAAUAUUCAUUGGCAAUAAUAAAAUUGAGAUUAACUGUAAUUAUUGUGGUUGUAUCCUAGGAUACCAAUCCUGGAAAGAUGGACUGCACGGUAUUACCGGUAUACCGGUAUAUCGCAAUACGCUUUUCAAGCGAUACGUAUUGCAAUAUAUUUUCUGAGAACCGGUAUAUCGGGUAAAGAACAUAUCUGAAAUUUUUGUGAUUAUCUCUAUGAUUUAAAUUAAAUUUUACACAGACUUUCAUGCACAGCAAAUGUUCUGUCUUUGUUUUGACAAAACGGCAUAUGUAAUGCUACUGUAUAAACAGAAAAUAGAAUCCCUGACUAUGGAAUCUAAUUUUGAGAUUGCUGUUAUCAGAAACAUAACAUAUAAGUUUAUGGAUUUGUAAUGUGGGAAAUAGAACUGACAUGUACAAUUAUUGUCACUAUUGUCAAACACGUAAGUUCCCAAUAUAUCCCAAUACGUAUCGCAAUAUUGGUAGCUGAGUCGCAACAUAUACUACUGACACUUUGCUAAGGAUCACAAAAAAUCACAACUUUACUUGAAAGUAGAUUCAUAAUUUGAAAUUUAAAACUGGAUAAAUAAUAGUAUGGCAACCCCUCUUUAGACAAACAGUCAUUUUAAUCUAACCUUAUGCACUUGAUACAUGAGUAAGCAUAA